GCUGAAACCCAUUUCAUAACUCUCAUUCAUGCCUCCAAAACCAUCCUCCAACUCCAACAAAUUCAUUCCCAACUCAUUUUGCAAGCAAUGUCUUCCAACAGUAAGAUCAUCACUCAACUAAUUUCUUCCUCCUCUUCACAGAGAUCAAUUGACUAUGCUUUGCACAUCUUUAAUUCUUUUACUGACCCAAAUGUUUAUAUGUUUAAUGCAUUAAUUAGAGGCCUAACCGAAAAUUCUUGGUUUAGGAAAAUGGUUGAAUUUUUUAAGCUUAUGUUAAGGCUUGAUGUUAGACCAUCUAGGCUGACAUUCCCAUUUGUGCUGAAAUCAGUUGUGGGGUUGGGUGAUAAAUGGCUUGGUGGGAUGGUUCAUGGUGGAAUCUUGAAGAUGGGACUUGAGUUCGAUGGUUUUGUGAGAGUUUCUUUGGUUGAUAUGUAUGAGAAAAUGGAGUUGUUAAGUCUUGCGUUGCAGUUGUUCGAUGAAAGUCCUGAGAGAAAUAAGCUUGAUAGUGUGCUUCUGUGGAAUGUGGUGAUCAAUGGGUGUUGUAAAAGUGGGAUCUUGGAAAAGGCUGUGGAGUUGUUUGAGGCGAUGCCAGAGAGAAAUUUCGGGUCUUGGAAUAGUUUAAUUAAUGGGCUGAUGAGGAAUGGCAAGGUGGAUAAGGCAGUGGAGCUUUUCGAGGGGAUGGUUGAAAAGAAUGUGGUUUCUUGGACCACAAUGGUUCAUGGAUUGUCGCUGAAUGGGAUGCAUGAAAAAGCGUUGGAAAUGUUCUUCAAUAUGAUCGAGGAGGAGGGUGCGAGGGCCAAUGAUUUAACACUUGUUUCCGUGCUUUCUGCUUGUGCAAAAACUGGGGCACUUGAGGCUGGGAUGAAGAUUCAUAAGUAUAUUUUGAGCAACAAGUUUCGGUUCAAUGCAGCUGUCGGAACUGCUUUGAUAGACAUGUAUGCCAAAUGUGGGCAAAUUCAGUCUGCAAGUCAGGUUUUCCGUGACACAAAAGAAAAGGAUGUCCGUACUUGGAGCGUGAUGAUAUGGGGUUGGGCAAUUCAUGGAUCUGUUGAGCAAGCUCUGCAAUGCUUUGAAAAGAUGAAGCUGACAGGGAUAGAGCCCGAUGAAGUAGCUUUUCUUGCAGUUUUAACUGCAUGUUCACAUGCUGGGCUAGUAGAUGAAGGGCUUAAGUUCUUUGAUAGCAUGAAACUUGACUACUCCAUUGAGCCUACCAUGAAACAUUGUGCUGUAAUAGUUGAUUUAUAUGGCCGGGCUGGCCAACUCGACAAAGCUUUAAGGUUUAUUCAAUGCAUGGCAUUGACUCCGGAUUUUGUAAUUUGGGGCGCCCUUUUUUCUGCCUGUCGAGCUCAUAAAAACAUUGAAAUGGCAAAAUAUGUUUCAGAGAAACUCCUGCAGCUUGAGCCAAAACAUUCAGGCAGUUAUGUAUUUAUGUCAAACAUUUAUGCAGGGGUAGGGAUAUGGGAAGAAGUGGAAAGAGUGAGAACUUCAAUGAAAGAUAAAGGUGCAGCUAAAGAUCCGGGAUUGAGUCAUGUGGAGGUGCAUGGAAAACUACAUAGUUUUGUUGCUGGUGAUCAAGCUCAUAUGCACACAAAAGAGAUAUACUCAAAAUUGGAAGAAAUGACAAAUCGUGCUAGGGAACAUGGUUACAUUCCAGAGACUGAGUGGGUACUUCACAAUAUUGAAGAGGAAGAGAAGGAAGACGCAUUAGGAACCCAUAGUGAGAAGCUGGCACUUGCUUUUGGGCUCAUUAGGACGAGUCCUGGGGUGGUGCUUAGGAUUGUGAAGAACCUGAGAAUAUGUGGGGAUUGCCAUUCUCUGAUGAAACAUGUCAGUAAAUUGAGUCAAAGAGAGAUUGUGGUAAGAGAUAUAAAGCGUUUCCAUCACUUCAAGGAUGGAAUUUGCUCAUGCCAAGAUUAUUGGUAACAUGGUGUCGUGAUGGCUCCAUGGAACUUCUAGUUUCUUGAGAGUGAAAUAGGGUUCAAACUAAUUUGUUUGGUGCUUUGCAUUGGAUAUGAACUGUUUCAAUCAUUUAUCAUGCCUGUGUUGAACAACAGCAUUAAUACAUAAUAGAAAUCUGUACAGAUAGCUGUGGUCCUGAGUGCAACUACAAAGCAACAAAGGUAUGCCUUUAGAGUAUAUUGACAUGCUGAUAUGGCAGAAAAAGAGUUAGGUAGAUUCAGUUCAAUACAAAGCCAAAUACAUUUAAAAUAAAGUCUAAUUAACCAAAAAAAAGGGAAAAAAAUUUGCUAAUGUUUGUAUGAGCUUCAUCAGAUUGAUGACUUGGAUCUUCUGCUCAAUACUAAGGGAUGAGCUAAUAACUGGGAAACACUCCAUCUCUUAUUUAAUUCCUUCUGCAAGCACAUUGGAUUAAGUCUUGAAAACUUUAUGAUGCAUGGUCUAAUAAGCUUGGAGGUUCUUCCAUGCUUAUCUCAGACAUGAGGGCUGUUGAUUCUGCUUUCUGUCCAGGCUUCAAGUAUGGAAUAUCAAAUAUACAGCUCCGCUGGCAUCAAGCCCAAGCUCCUUACAAGACUGCACAGGGAUUGCAACCAUAGGGAUACGGAUCAAACCUUUGUGGGCUGAUAUAAGCACAAGGACAUGCAUAAGUUUUGCAUGAAUCAUCUGAGCCAAUGAUCAAGUCCAGUGAGUGCUUGGAAAGCUAUGCUCCCGAUAAUGUCUUCAGUGAGUGAACCAUUGGUUUUGAAAAGAUUAUCCAGUGAGCCAGCAUCCAUGUACUCAAAAAGAAUCCCAACCUCACCUAUGGUUUCCUCAAAGAUGCCCUGGCAACCAACAACAGAAGGAGAGCUGAUUGAACGAUAGAUUUCAUAUUCUUUAUCAGGAUGACCACCCGGACGAUUUUUAGAGCAUAGAUUAUUGAUGUUUGCUUGUCACGUACUUUGUAAAUAAUACCUGUGCUGCCAAAGCCAAGGACCUGAAGUUUUUCAAAAUCAGAUUGAAGUGCAAUUUCUGGAGAAUUGGUUUUGAUGUUUGUGGUUAAAGGCUCAGUGAAAAAAGUGGGGAUUAUUUUCCUUUUUUCUGAUUGUUUGGUCAGGAAGUUCAAUGUGAAGGUAUGGGCACUUCUUGAGAAGUGCCAUGACUGUUUAAGUUGUAUUGUACUGUUACAUGCGUUGUUAAACGUUAUUUACUGCAAGGAAG